rnacentral:rRNA from 1 species
GACGAACGCUGGCGGCGUGCUUAACACAUGCAAGUCGAACGGAAAGGCCCUGCUUUUGUGGGGUGCUCGAGUGGCGAACGGGUGAGUAACACGUGAGUAACCUGCCCUUGACUUUGGGAUAACUUCAGGAAACUGGGGCUAAUACCGGAUAGGAGCUCCUGCUGCAUGGUGGGGGUUGGAAAGUUUCGGCGGUUGGGGAUGGACUCGCGUCUUAUCAGCUUGUUGGUUGGGUAGUGGCUUACCAAGGCUUUGACGGGUAGCCGGCCUGAGAGGGUGACCGGCCAAAUUGGGACUGGGAUACGGCCCAGACUACUACGGGAGGCAGCAGUGGGGAAUAUUACACAAUGGGCGGAAGCCUGAUGCAGCAACGCCGCGUGCGGGAUGACGGCCUUCGGGUUGUAAACCGCUUUCGCCUGUGACGAAGCGUGAGUGACGGUAAUGGGUAAAGAAGCACCGGCUAACUACGUG